UGGGGAAUAUUGGACAAUGGACCAAGAGUCUGAUCCAGCAAUUCUGUGUGCACGAUGAAGUUUUUCGGAAUGUAAAGUGCUUUCAGUUGGGAAGAAAAAAAUGACAGUACCAACAGAAGAAGUGACGGCUAAAUACGUGCCAGCAGCCGCGGUAAUACGUAUGUCACAAGCGUUAUCCGGAUUUAUUGGGCGUAAAGCGCGUCUAGGUGGUUAUGUAAGUCUGAUGUGAAAAUGCAGGGCUCAACUCUGUAUUGCGUUGGAAACUGUGUAACUAGAGUACUGGAGAGGUAAGCGGAACUACAAGUGUAGAGGUGAAAUUCGUAGAUAUUUGUAGGAAUGCCGAUGGGGAAGCCAGCUUACUGGACAGAUACUGACGCUGAAGCGCGAAAGCGUGGGUAGCAAACAGGAUUAGAUACCCUGGUAGUCCACGCCGUAAACGAUGAUUACUAGGUGUUGGGGGUCGAACCUCAGCGCCCAAGCAAACGCGAUAAGUAAUCCGCCUGGGGAGUACGUACGCAAGUAUG
rnacentral:rRNA from 1 species